rnacentral:misc_RNA from 1 species
GAUGAAGAACGUAGCGAAAUGCGAUAAGUAAUGUGAAUUGCAGAAUUCAGUGAAUCAUCGAAUCUUUGAACGCACAUUGCGCCCCCUGGUAUUCCGGGGGGCAUGCCUGUUCGAGCGUCAUUACAACCCUCAAGCUCUGCUUGGUAUUGGGCCCCGCCAGUUCUGGCGGGCCCUAAAGUCAGUGGCGGUGCCUUCCGGCUCCGAGCGUAGUAAUUCUUCUCGCUCUGGAGACCCGGUUGUGUGCUUGCCAACAACCCCCAAUUUUUUAAGGUUGACCUCGGAUCAGGUAGGGAUACCCGCUGAACUUAAGCAUAUCAAAGCGGAGGA